rnacentral:rRNA from 1 species
CCUACGGGAGGCAGCAGUCGAGAAUCAUUCACAAUGGGGGAAACCCUGAUGGUGCGAUGCCGCGUGGGGGAAUGAAGGUCUUCGGAUUGUAAACCCCUGUCAUGUGGGAGCAAAUUAAAAAGAUCGUACCACAAGAGGCAGAGACGGCUAACUCUGUGCCAGCAGCCGCGGUAAUACAGAGGUCUCAAGCGUUGUUCGGAAUCACUGGGCGUAAAGCGUGCGUAGGCUGUUUCGUAAGUCGUGUGUGAAAGGCGCGGGCUCAACCCGCGGACGGCACAUGAUACUGCGAGACUAGAGUAAGGGAGGGGGAACCGGAAUUCUUGGUGUAGCAGUGAAAUGCGUAGAUAUCGAGAGGAACACUCGUGGCGAAGGCGGGUUCCUGGACAUUAACUGACGCUGAGGCACGAAGGCCAGGGGAGCGAAAGGGAUUAGAUACCCCGGUAGUC